rnacentral:rRNA from 1 species
GUAAUUCCAGCUCCAAUAGCGUAUAUUAAAGUUGUUGCAGUUAAAAAGCUCGUAGUUGAAUUUCGGGAUCAAUACGUCGGUCGUGCUUUCGGGUACGUACUGGCGUCAUUGGUUUCUCCUUUCUGACGAACCAUGAUGUCAUUAAUUUGGUGUUAUGGGGAGUUAGGACUGUUACUUUGAAAAAAUUAGAGUGUUUAAAGCAGGCAUUAGCUUGAAUACAUUAGCAUGGAAUAAUGAAAUAGGACGUUCGAUCCUAUUUUGUUGGUUUCUAGGAUCAACGUAAUGAUUAAUAGGGAUAGUUGGGGGCAUUAGUAUUCAAUUGUCAGAGGUGAAAUUCUUGGAUUUAUUGAAGACUAACUACUGCGAAAGCAUUUGCCAAGGAUGUUUUCAUUAAUCAAGAACGAAAGUUAGGGGAUCGAAGACGAUCAGAUACCGUCGUAGUCUUAACCAUAAACUAUGCCGACUAGGGAUCGGAUGAUGUUAAUU